GCCAUGUUUUCAGCUUGGAGCUACCUGCAACCAUAAUUUCAAGAAGACAGCAGAAACCAGCUGCUGUUGCUGCCCUGAGCCACCAGCUGCACUACUCCAUCACUCUGCGUGAUGCCAGUAGUCAGUGCCUGGCAGCUUGCAGAGCUAUUGCAGGGCAAAAUGAACAGCCAGAGGAAAAGAAAUCACACAAAUCCUGCAAGGAAGAGUGGAAACAGCCUCACACAAAUCUUUCAAGUUCAGCACAUCCUCUCCCUCAUCUUGAUCAUCCAUAUGUUAUACGAUGAAAGAAUCAGCCUUUCUCCCAGUCAAUUUCUCAACUUCCUCCACUUGUCAAAAGAAGUGGUAUUAUUAUUUAUAGCAUCACAGCACCUAGAGAUCUCAAGUAAGAUGAGAAGUCAGGGUGCAAUUUGUCUUAGUACAAGUAGAUUACUAGCACUGAUUCAGAUGUUUUGCUGUUUGGAAGAGGAUCACCUGAACUCCUGCUCUAUCAAGAAACAUUUUUGUUGCCUUCACCUACACAGGCAUCUAUGUUCAGAUAUUCACAUGAAGAAACAGGUUUGGAUUGCUUCUGUUGCAUAGAGUGUCCAUGCAUAUACAUGUUUUUCUAGUCAUUUAAACCAUGGCCCAGACUGGCCAUAAUUCAACUCUUACUUAUUGACAAUUGCAAUAAGCUCUUGUUUUUCACAUAAUCAUUAGCAUUUGUAAUAACAGAACCCACCAGCUGGGCCUCUUUUGAAUAGGGCCUCUCUCAAGGUGAUAGCAACCUAUGAAGUGCACUCAAUCAUGCAACGGCAUGCAACAGCAACAGCAUAAGCAGUAACAUUAGAAAAAGACAGAAAACUAUCUGAAUUUUGUUGGGACUCAAGAUCAGGUAAAAAGAGAGAGGGCAGGAUAGGUUAUACAAGGUUUGAUGGGAGGCAGUGCUCAGGGCAAGGGGGAAUUUCCAUUUAGAGGUGGUCAUAGCUGGGCUAUCAUAAGGGCCAUGAACUUCCAGAUCAAUUUAAAAGCCUGUUCUAGUGAGCAGAAACAUGCUGAUAUUGACAAGGUAAUGACAAGCUUCAGGCAGCCAACCAAAGCAUGACUCCAUGUUUGAAAAGCAGUAUGCUAUUGUCAUACUAUAUUGGUUGUUAUAUUGUCAACCAAUUGCAACCUUUGGUUGCAGGCCACAAAGGAAGGGCAGCAACCUUAUGGAAGGAUGAGAAAAAACUGGGCUAGGAAGUGCUGGGUGAGCCACAAGUGCCUUGGAGCUUAAUGAAGAUCCUGAAGUAGGGCACAUUAACCCGCCAUUAUGCCAAGCAACAGGUAUCACAGACACCAGUGUUAGUACAGAAACUAUAGUGGUUCAUCAGGCACAAGAUAUUGCUGUCACAUACUGCUAUGCUAAUCCAAGGAGAUUUGACUCAGCAGAUGAGAAUGCUCUCAGAAAAGGAAAGCACAGAGAGAUUUGUUUAAUGCAGCAGGCUGGGGGUGCAGCAGGAGCUGGGAGGGGACAGACACAGGACAGGUGACCCGAACUAGACAAAGGGGUAUUCCAUACCAUCUGAUGUCUUGCUAAACAAUAUAUAGGGGUGGCUAACCAGGGGAGGGUGGGUCCAGACUGCUCGGGGUUAGGCUGGGCGUCAGUGGGUGGUGAGCAAUUGUGUUGUGCAUCACUUGUUUGUACACAUUAUUAGUAGUAGUACUAUUAUCAUCAUUAUUGUUAUUAUUAUUGUUGUUAUUAUUAUUUUCCUGUCUUAAUAAACUGUCUUUAUCUCAACUCA
rnacentral:lncRNA from 1 species